rnacentral:rRNA from 1 species
AUAUUGGACAAUGGGCGAAAGCCUGAUCCAGCCAUGCCGCGUGUGUGAAGAAGGUCUUCGGAUUGUAAAGCACUUUAAGUUGGGAGGAAGGGUUGUAACCUAAUACGUUGCAAUUUUGACGUUACCGACAGAAUAAGCACCGGCUAACUUCGUGCCAGCAGCCGCGGUAAUACGAAGGGUGCAAGCGUUAAUCGGAAUUACUGGGCGUAAAGCGCGCGUAGGUGGUUCAGCAAGUUGGAUGUGAAAGCCCUGGGCUCAACCUGGGAACUGCAUCCAAAACUACUGAGCUAGAGUACGGUAGAGGGUAGUGGAAUUUCCUGUGUAGCGGUGAGAUGCGUAGAUAUAGGAAGGAACGCCAGUGGCGAAGGCGACUACCUGGACUGAUACUGACACUGAGGUGCGAAAGCGUGGGGAGCAAAC